rnacentral:rRNA from 1 species
GCCUACGGGGGGCAGCAGUAGGGAAUCUUCCACAAUGGGCGAAAGCCUGAUGGAGCAACGCCGCGUGGGUGAAGAAGGUCUUCGGAUCGUAAAACCCUGUUGUUAGAGAAGAAAGUGCGUGAGAGUAACUGUUCACGUUUCGACGGUAUCUAACCAGAAAGCCACGGCUAACUACGUGCCAGCAGCCGCGGUAAUACGUAGGGGGCAAGCGUUAUCCGGAUUUAUUGGGCGUAAAGGGAACGCAGGCGGGCUUUUAAGUCUGAUGUGAAAGCCUUCGGCUUAACCGGAGUAGUGCAUUGGAGACU